UACGUAUGGAGCAAGCGUUAUCCGGAUUUACUGGGUGUAAAGGGUGCGUAGGCGGCUUUGAAAGUCCGAUGUGAAAUACCGGGGCUUAACCCCGGGGCUGCAUUGGAAACUUCAGGGCUUGAGACCGGGAGGGGCAGGCGGAAUUCCUAGUGUAGCGGUGAAAUGCGUAGAUAUUAGGAAGAACACCAGUGGCGAAGGCGGCCUGCUGGACCGGGACUGACGCUGAGGCACGAAAGCGUGGGGAG
rnacentral:rRNA from 1 species